rnacentral:rRNA from 1 species
GACGAACGCUGGCGGCGUGCCUAAUACAUGCAAGUUGAGCGCUGAAGGUUGGUACUUGUACCAACUGGAUGAGCAGCGAACGGGUGAGUAACGCGUGGGGAAUCUGCCUUUGAGCGGGGGACAACAUUUGGAAACGAAUGCUAAUACCGCAUAAAAACUUUAAACACAAGUUUUAAGUUUGAAAGAUGCAAUUGCAUCACUCAAAGAUGAUCCCGCGUUGUAUUAGCUAGUUGGUGAGGUAAAGGCUCACCAAGGCGAUGAUACAUAGCCGACCUGAGAGGGUGAGCGGCCACAUUGGGACGGAGACACGGCCCAAACUGCUACGGGAGGCAGCAGUAGGGAAUCUUCGGCAAUGGACGAAAGUCUGACCGAGCAACGCCGCGUGAGUGAAGAAGGUUUUCGGAUCGUAAAACUCUGUUGGUAGAGAAGAACGUGGGUGAGAGUGGAAAGCUCAUCAAGUGACGGUAACUACCCAGAAAGGGACGGCUAACUACGUG